rnacentral:rRNA from 1 species
UUUUUUAAUUGGAAACUAGAAUGAAUGGUUGAAUAAAAUAUAAACUGUCUUAAAUAAAUAAUAAUAAAAUUUUAUUUUUUAGUUAAAAAGCUAAAAUUUAAUUAAAAGACGAGAAGACCCUAUAAAGUUUUAUAUUUUUUUUUAAAAAAAUUAAUUAGAAUAAUAAAAUUUUUUUUAAAAAAAAUAUUUUAUUGGGGUGAUAAUAAAAUUUAAAAAACUUUUAUAUGUAAUAAACAAUAAUAAUUGAAUAGUUGAUCCAAUAAUAUUGAUUAAAAAAUUAAAUUACUUUAGGGAUAACAGCGUUAUUUUUUUUUUAAGUUCAUAUUUAUAAAAAAGAUUGC